UACGUAGGGUGCAAGCGUCGUCCGGAAUUAUUGGGCGUAAAGAGCUCGUAGGCGGUUUGUCGCGUCUGCUGUGAAAACCGGAGGCUCAACCUCCGGCCUGCAGUGGGUACGGGCAAACUAGAGUGCGGUAGGGGAGAUUGGAAUUCCUGGUGUAGCGGUGGAAUGCGCAGAUAUCAGGAGGAACACCGAUGGCGAAGGCAGAUCUCUGGGCCGUAACUGACGCUGAGGAGCGAAAGCGUGGGGAGCGAACAGG
rnacentral:rRNA from 1 species